rnacentral:rRNA from 1 species
UACGUAGGGUGCGAGCGUUAUCCGGAAUUACUGGGCGUAAAGAGCUCGUAGGUGGUUUGUCGCGUUGUUCGUGAAAUCUCACGGCUUAACUGUGAGCGUGCGGGCGAUACGGGCAGACUGGAGUACUGCAGGGGAGACUGGAAUUCCUGGUGUAGCGGUGGAAUGCGCAGAUAUCAGGAGGAACACCGGUGGCGAAGGCGGGUCUCUGGGCAGUAACUGACGCUGAGGAGCGAAAGCGUGGGGAGCGAACAGG